rnacentral:rRNA from 1 species
GACGAACGCUGGCGGCGUGCCUAAUACAUGCAAGUAGGACGCAGUUGCGAACGGGUGAGUAACGCGUAGGUAACUACCUAUUAGAGGGGGCUAACUAUUGGAAACGAUAGCUAAUACCGCAUACUAGUAGAUGGACCUGCGUUGUAUUAGCUAGUAGGUAGGGUAAUGGCCUACCUAGGCAACGAUACAUAACCGACCUGGGAAGGUGGUCGGCCCAACUGGGACGGGGACACGGGCCAGACUCCUACGGGAGGCAGCAGGUGGGGAUCUUCGGAAAUGGGGGGAACCCUGAACGAGCCACGCCGCGUGAGUGAAGAAGGUUUUCGGGUCGUAAAGCUCUGUUGUUAAGGAAGCGGUACUUAAACAGAAAGGGACGGCUAACUACGUGCCAGCAGCCGCGGUAAUUC